ACCCUCUUGACUCCUUACCCAUCAGAUCUAAACCAGUGGUCUGAAUGAAAGGAGGAAUGAUCAGACUGAAACAGACUUGGAUUCUUUUCUGACAUACAAGUUGGUUCCAAACAAAC
rnacentral:snoRNA from 1 species